AACGGGGAUUGCCUCAGUAACGGCGAGUGAAGCGGCAACAGCUCAAAUUUGAAAUCUGGCGCCCCCGGCGCCCGAGUUGUAAUUUGCAGAGGAUGCCUCGGUGCGAGGCCGCGCCCAAGUCCCUUGGAACAGGGCGCCUCAGAGGGUGAGAGUCCCGUUGGGCCGCGGCCGACCUCCGUGUGAGGCUCCUUCGACGAGUCGAGUUGUUUGGGAAUGCAGCUCUAAGCGGGAGGUAAAUUUCUCCUAAGGCUAAAUACCGGCCAGAGACCGAUAGCGCACAAGUAGAGUGAUCGAAAGAUGAAAAGCACUUUGGAAAGAGAGUUAAAAAGCACGUGAAAUUGUUGAAAGGGAAGCGCUUGCGGCCAGACUUGCCGCGGCGGUUCGGCCGGGUGCUCCACCCGGCUUACUCCGCCGCGUCGGGCCAGCAUCAGCUUGGGCGGUCGGACAAAGGCCUGGGGAACGUAGCUCCCUCCGGGGAGUGUUAUAGCCCCUCGCGCAAUGCGGCCUGCCCGGGCUGAGGCUCGCGUUCUGCUAGGAUGCUGGCGUAAUGGCCGCAAGCGGCCCGUCUUGAAACACGGACCAAGGAGUCUACCAUCUGUGCGAGUGUUUGGGUGUCAAACCCGUGCGCGUAAUGAAAGUGAACGGAGGCGGGAGCCCCCGGGCGCACCGUCGACCGAUCCUGAUGUCUUCGGAUGGAUUUGAGUAAGAGCACAGCUGGUGGGACCCGAAAGGUAAGCAACCAAUCCUUUUCUUCUACUUUAUAAAUGAAAGCUAACAGAAAUUCCCCAGAUGGUGAACUAUGCGUAAACAGGGCGAAGCCAGAGGAAACUCUGGUGGAGGCUCGCAGCGGUUCUGACGUGCAAAUCGAUCGUCAAAUUCGCGCAUAGGGGCGAAAGACUAAUCGAA
rnacentral:rRNA from 1 species